GUGUUGGGAGUACCUAAGGGAGCAAGACUGAAGCACACAUUGUUAGGAGACCACUGGCCUGACGAAGACACGUACAUCACGUAAACCAUAAUUCUUCAGGGAAUCAGUCCUCAGCGGAUUGUGAGGGGAAACCAGGGGAAACCCCUCAAUGACAGAGGAAGAACAUGCAGACUCCACACACAGAGAGCUGUGGCAAGCCUCAAACCAUAGCCCCAGAGAUAUCAUGGUAUCACUGUCUUCACUGGAAGCCAUAUCUACGACAGCUAAAGACCUGAUUUCACUGUACCAGCCACUGUCACAGAGUGAAACAUCGAGAGGCGAUGUGCAGAAUGGG